UACAGAGACCUCAAGCGUUAUCCGGAAUCAUUGGGCGUAAAGCGUACCGAUAGGUGGUCUAAAAAGUCAGAUGUGAAAUUCCAAGGCUCAACCUUGGGACUGUCAUUUGAAACUUUUAGACUAGAGGGGCAAAGAGGAAGCUGGAACGAACGGUGUAGUAGUGAAAUGCGUUGAUAUCGUUCGGAACACCAAUAGCGAAGGCGGGCUUCUGGGUGCCACCUGACACUGCUAGGACGAGAGCGUGGGGAGCGAAUGGG
rnacentral:rRNA from 1 species